rnacentral:misc_RNA from 1 species
CAUGUCUCCAUGAGUUGAUGUAUUUUUGUUGCUGUCUAUUUGUGGAGAUUAUUGAUGUUGCAAUCAGUUUAAUAAGAAUUUUUUGGAGGGUUAGUUUCCCUCCCAAUAAUUUUGGAGAUGAGUAUGUUUCUGUUUUGAUGUGGAGCUUCUCUUUGAGCUGCUAAUGUUGAACUUUUUUACUCAUAUGCUAUAUUGGCAGCGUCAAAUGAUGAUGGUAAGUU